UCCUGUUCAGCUUUUAAGUUAGAACAUACUAGUCCUCCCUUGGCAUCUGAACCUGUUAUUUAAAGUGGGAAGUAAUACUGGAAACCGCAGCAUUGCAAGAUUUUAACUUCACAGCUGAAAUUGAAGAACUGACCCAGAGAGCUGUGCCUGGCUAGUUUUCUGACCUCUGUUAGAGUUCACGUCAUCUCCUGUAAAGCCAGAGUGGGAUCUCACAGCAUGGGACCAUGAAGACUCCAUCCAAAACUGAAAGCUUUCUCCUGCCGACAGGUCUGCUGAGCGACUGAGCCCCCAGCCACAGCCAUCUCCUGGCAUAUGCAGAGACUCUGGUUUUGAAACUGCGGAAGUUCCAGAGAGGUAGAAGAAUGCUCGUCAGAAGAACGCGUGAGAUCACCAGUAUCCAGAAGUGUAAAAGUGUAAGGAAACUGAAACUGGCAGUAUGCACUGGCUCACUUUAGAAUUGCUUUUGCUCUCAUCUAAACCCAAAAUGAAACUGUUUGUGUUUUGGGAUUAUUCUUCCGUUCUCAUGACCUCAUCAUCCCACGUUACCUGGAUGGUUGAACUGCAGUUUGCCGGCUUUCUUCUUUAUGUGACUAAUGACCACCAGGAAGGGCUUCACAGCAGCUUGGUUUGUUACUAGAUCCAGAAAAUAUGUGGGUUUGCCUACAAGGACAAUGUGGGCAUUUUAAGAGCAUGUGAAAUAUAACUUCUCCAAAUAAAUAGCAACAGAUUCCAGCUAUGUCUAUAUACAGGAUGAUGAAAGGAUGGGAGUUCGCAUUAUCUGACUAGAAUAUUGCAGAAGAAGCAAUGAGGUUUGUGCAUUAUGAAAAGACAGAAGAGAGAUGUCUGAUCAUGUGCAAUUGGGGGAUAGGAAAUUAAUUUUACAGCACACUUCAGAAAGUCUAUGAAAAGGAGAAGUUAUCUUUGAAGCGAUCUCUUCCUCAGUGGGAAAGUAUUAUAUAUGUGCAAAUCAUGGCCUUUCUUGGCUUUAACUGGUAUCACCAAAGCAGUGUUUUAAGUAAACCAGUCCUGUUUCCAUCACUUCCAAGCAUUAAACCACGAUGGUAUUGGCGUCCAUUCAAGCUGUAAGCCUGGCGUGGAAGGCUACCUAAUUCAACCUGCACACAUGGAUUAUGCACCCUACAUGUAAAGUCUUUGAUCCGUGAUAAAACCAAUAUUUGCUGAUUUGUUCUGCACUGUCCAUUGAAACAAAUGCAUUUCAAAAUACAUAUUGUAUUUUAUCUGACAUCUAACUAGAAGAGUUUGCUGGACAACACUUGAAUGAGGGAAAUGAAAUAGAUAUGUUUACAGUUUCUCAAUAAUCAGAAGUUUCAAAUACAAUAUACUAUUUUACAAGUCUUUAAUGUGGUUCGAUUUGCAAGCCUCUGUGGAGAGUCUAAGAAGACAAAGAUGUUGGAAAUAAGAGUUUCUUCUUCCAAGCAGGAAAAAAAAGAAGCGGAACUGAGUAAGGUCACACAAAAAAAGGGCUCUGGGGUGUUUAUCUCUCUCUAACACAUCCACUGGGACACUUUGAACUCACUCUCCCACUGACUGCAAGGUCUUUUUGACAGAGACUGGAGGUGUCUGCUUA